rnacentral:misc_RNA from 1 species
UUUCCGUAGGUGAACCUGCGGAAGGAUCAUUACCGAGUUAGGGUUGCCUUCUAGGUGCCCGACCUCCCAACCCUUUUGUGAACCACCUCGUUGCUUCGGGGGCGACCCUGCCGUUCGGCGCGGCGCCCCCGGGGUCAAUCAAACACUGCAUUCUCUGCGUCGGAGUAUUAGUAAAUCUAAUCAAAACUUUCAACAACGGAUCUCUUGGUUCUGGCAUCGAUGAAGAACGCAGC